AGAGUUUGAUCCUGGCUCAGGAUGAACGCUAGCUACAGGCUUAACACAUGCAAGUCGAGGGGCAUCAGGAAGAAAGCUUGCUUUCUUUGCUGGCGACCGGCGCACGGGUGAGUAACACGUAUCCAACCUGCCCUUUACUCGGGGAUAGCCUUUCGAAAGAAAGAUUAAUACCCGAUAGCAUAAUGAUUCCGCAUGGUUUCAUUAUUAAAGGAUUCCGGUAAAGGAUGGGGAUGCGUUCCAUUAGGUUGUUGGUGAGGUAACGGCCCACCAAGCCUUCGAUGGAUAGGGGUUCUGAGAGGAAGGUCCCCCACAUUGGAACUGAGACACGGUCCAAACUCCUACGGGAGGCAGCAGUGAGGAAUAUUGGUCAAUGGGCGCUAGCCUGAACCAGCCAAGUAGCGUGAAGGAUGAAGGCUCUAUGGGUCGUAAACUUCUUUUAUAUAAGAAUAAAGUGCAGUAUGUAUACUGUUUUGUAUGUAUUAUAUGAAUAAGGAUCGGCUAACUCCGUGCCAGCAGCCGCGGUAAUACGGAGGAUCCGAGCGUUAUCCGGAUUUAUUGGGUUUAAAGGGAGCGUAGGUGGACUGGUAAGUCAGUUGUGAAAGUUUGCGGCUCAACCGUAAAAUUGCAGUUGAUACUGUCAGUCUUGAGUACAGUAGAGGUGGGCGGAAUUCGUGGUGUAGCGGUGAAAUGCUUAGAUAUCACGAAGAACUCCGAUUGCGAAGGCAGCUCACUGGACUGCAACUGACACUGAUGCUCGAAAGUGUGGGUAUCAAACAGGAUUAGAUACCCUGGUAGUCCACACAGUAAACGAUGAAUACUCGCUGUUUGCGAUAUACAGUAAGCGGCCAAGCGAAAGCAUUAAGUAUUCCACCUGGGGAGUACGCCGGCAACGGUGAAACUCAAAGGAAUUGACGGGGGCCCGCACAAGCGGAGGAACAUGUGGUUUAAUUCGAUGAUACGCGAGGAACCUUACCCGGGCUUAAAUUGCAGUGGAAUGAUGUGGAAACAUGUCAGUGAGCAAUCACCGCUGUGAAGGUGCUGCAUGGUUGUCGUCAGCUCGUGCCGUGAGGUGUCGGCUUAAGUGCCAUAACGAGCGCAACCCUUAUCUUCAGUUACUAACAGGUUAUGCUGAGGACUCUGGAGAGACUGCCGUCGUAAGAUGUGAGGAAGGUGGGGAUGACGUCAAAUCAGCACGGCCCUUACGUCCGGGGCUACACACGUGUUACAAUGGGGGG
rnacentral:rRNA from 1 species